GACGAACGCUGGCGGCGCGCCUAACACAUGCAAGUCGGACGAGCGAGAGAGAGCUUGCUUUCUCAAGCGAGUGGCGAACGGGUGAGUAACGCGUGAGGAACCUGCCUCAAAGAGGGGGACAACAGUUGGAAACGACUGCUAAUACCGCAUAAGCCCACGACCCGGCAUCGGGUAGAGGGAAAAGGAGCAAUCCGCUUUGAGAUGGCCUCGCGUCCGAUUAGCUAGUUGGUGAGGUAACGGCCCACCAAGGCGACGAUCGGUAGCCGGACUGAGAGGUUGAACGGCCACAUUGGGACUGAGACACGGCCCAGACUCCUACGGGAGGCAGCAGUGGGGAAUAUUGCACAAUGGGGGAAACCCUGAUGCAGCGACGCCGCGUGGAGGAAGAAGGUCUUCGGAUUGUAAACUCCUGUUGUGGAGGAAGAUAAUGACGGUACUCAACAAGGAAGUGACGGCUAACUACGUG
rnacentral:rRNA from 1 species